rnacentral:rRNA from 1 species
UACGGGGGGCGCAAGCGUUGUUCGGAUUUACUGGGCGUAAAGGGCGCGUAGGCGGUCAUGACAAGUCACUUGUGAAAUCUCCGGGCUUAACUCGGAACGGUCAAGUGAUACUGUCAGACUAGAGUGCAGAAGGGGCAACUGGAAUUCUCGGUGUAGCGGUGAAAUGCGUAGAUAUCGAGAGGAACACCUGCGGCGAAGGCGGGUUGCUGGGCUGACACUGACGCUGAGGCGCGAAAGCCAGGGGAGCGAACGGG